rnacentral:lncRNA from 1 species
CAUAAAAAAAAGUUUUAAAAAAAGUAAUUAACAAAUAUCUACAUAAUAUAUUACCUCUCAGUUGGUACAUGUAAUCGAGAUUAAUAGAAAUAAAAAAUAAUAAAAUAAUAAAAAUAUUAACAAAGAAAAAAAGGUAGCUGAAAUGCGUCAAGUGAGAAAUAAUAAAUAAAUCAUAGAAAAUAAAAAUAACAUAAAAUAU